AACAAAAACAUGUCCUUUUGUUUGUAUUUAUUUAAGGUUUAACCUGCCCACUGAUUUAUUUUAAAUGGCCGCAGUAAUUUGACUGUGCAAAGGUAGCAUAAUCAUUAGUUUUUUAAUUGAAAGCUUGUAUGAAAGGUUGGACGAGGUAUUAUCUGUCUUUAUUUAAUUUAUUUUAGAAUUUAAUUUUUAAGUUAAAAAGCUUAAAUUUUUUUAAAAGACGAGAAGACCCUAUAAAUCUUUAUAUUAUUUUAAAUUAUUUUAGUUAAGAUUAUUAUAUUUAUUUAAUUUUUUAUAAUAUUUUAUUGGGGUAAUAAAAUGAUUUGAUUAAUUCAUUUUGAUUUUUUACAUUUAUUUAUGGUUUUAUGAUCCAAUAUUUUUGAUUAUAAGAUUAAGUUACUUUAGGGAUAACAGCGUAAUUUUUUUAAAGAGUUCAUAUCGAUAAAAAAGAUUGCGACCUCGAUGUUG
rnacentral:rRNA from 1 species